rnacentral:tRNA from 2 species
GCUCCCGUAGCUCAGUUGGAUAGAGCGACGGUUUCCUAAACCGCAGGUCGCAAGUUCGAUUCUUGCCGGGAGCGCCA